UACGAGGGGGGCGAGCGUUGUUCGGAAUUAUUGGGCGUAAAGGGUGCGUAGGCGGUUUGGUAAGUCUUGUGUGAAAUCUCCAGGCUCAACUUGGAGUCUGCACGAGAAACUGCCGGGCUUGAGUGUGGGAGAGGUGAGUGGAAUUCCUGGUGUAGCGGUGAAAUGCGUAGAUAUCAGGAGGAACACCUGUGGUGUAGACGGCUUUCUGGACCGUAGCUGACGCUGAGACACGAAAGCGUGGGUAGCAAACAGG
rnacentral:rRNA from 1 species